rnacentral:tRNA from 1 species
AGGGAUUUAGCUCAGUGGCAUAAGCACCUGCCUGGCAAGCAGGAGAUGGUGAGUUUAAUCUCCG